UAGGGAAUAUUACGCAAUGGGCGAAAGCCUGACGGAGCAACGCCGCGUGAGUGAUGAAGGUCUUCGGAUAGUAAAACUCUGUUAGCAGGGACGAACAAAUGUGUAAGUAACUAUGCACGUCUUGACGGUACCUAAUCAGAAAGCCACGGCUAACUACGUGCAAGCAGCGGCGGUAAUGCGGAGGUGGCAAGCGGUAUCCGGAAUUAUUGGGCGUAAAGCGCGCGUAGGCGGUUUUUUAAGUCUGAUGUGAAAGCCCACGGCUCAACCGGGGAGGGUCUAUUGAAACUGGAAAACUUGAGUGCAGAAGAGGAAACUGGAAUUCCAUGUGUAGCGGUGAAAUGCGCAGCGAUAUGGAGGAACACCAGUGGCGAAGGCGACUUUCUGGUCUGUAACUGACGCUGAUGUGCGAAAGCGUGGGGAUCAAACAGG
rnacentral:rRNA from 1 species